GUGUGUGUGUGUGUGUGUGUGUGUGUGUGUGUGUGUGUGUGUGUGUGUGUGUGUGUGUGUGUGUGUGUGUGUGUGUGUGUAGGGGGGGGGGAGCCGGCCGGCGUGGAUCAUAUGGGUAUUCGAACGGUGAUGGGCGGGAAUCGAGCUGCGGCGGCGGGAAGUGGGGCUACGGUGGCUUGGCGACGAAGGGAUGGCGACGAUCUCGGUCAGGGUGUGGGCUGGCGAUCGAGCGACGCUGGGAGGGCUUCUCAACGACGAUGACGUGUAAUCGGGUCACUCACUAAUAGGCGAGCACGAGGUCGUCGGAUGGUCACUCGAUCACUCCUGCGGCUUUCCUGUUCCCCUGGCCUUAGGCGAAAACUGGUGCCAAAGGGGAGGCACGUGGUUACCUCGUCCUACCGUACUGGGGGUCGAUCGUCCUACCCAGCAAUAGCCAAGCGUG